GCGCGGUUGGCGUAGUGGUCUAACGUGUACACUCCAAAAUUUUGUGCUGAGGGCCGGCUACCCGAGGACGCACACACACACAAAGUGUGAAAGCGGCCGGCAACCGUAGUGUAAGAUCCCGGGUUCGAAUCCCGGACCGCGCA